rnacentral:lncRNA from 1 species
CGGUCCGACGCUAUAUAUUGGGUAUGAAAAGGUUGGCUUUGAUCUUGGGACUUAGAAUUUUGACUCUAAUGGGAAACUACGUACAAUUCUAUAUGCAUAUAUAUUUAUCUUUUUUUUUUUUUUUCGUUUCAGUGUUUUGAUGAAUUUGUAACUGUAAGAAAAAGAGGUAGCAAAGGACCCGCAAUGCACAAUGUAAAAAGACAUUGUGCAUUUUAUUUUUGUAGUUUAGCUAAAUAGCUCAAAGGCAGAAAAGAAACUCAGAGUUUGCUUCCUUUUCACGUCUCUAAAAAGACAUCGAUUGAUUGAUGGGUUUGAUGGAUUCUCG